AAGCGUAUUUCAUCAGACUGCUAUUAUUUCUGUGCAAGCUUUGAAGAAAAAGGGUAAAAGGUCAUUCUUUUGUUUGUAACUAAGAAAGAUAUUGCCUUUGAAAGAUGGUUUAUUUUUCUCAUAUUUUAAAUAAUCUUAUUCUCAUAGCCCAGAUAUAUCCUUGCUUUAAAACCUUGAGCUACUUAUUUCAAUAUAAAUAUGCUCAGAAAGAAAACGCUUUACUUUUAAGAAAGGCUGAGUAUUUAUAAAAUGUGCAGUGUUUAUGUUCUUGCAUGUUAAUGUUCUUGCAAAUAAAAUAUUUUGACUGUCACGUCAGAAAUGACAAAGUGUGUUACAAGAAUGAAUCCUUGAGGAUUUUUUAACAUGAACAUUAAUAAGUGCAUAAAAGGUGCAUUGUAAAAAUACAGUCACUAUAAAUAACUAGAUUUAAUACAUUUCUUUUAAUGUUGUUUGGGCUUUUGCACAGCCAAAUGCCCUCGCUGUAGGAAUAAGCUUCAAGUAGACAACUUCGUGGAAUGGUCCCCUAGAAGAAGAAAUAGACUCCAGUAAUGGAAAGAAGCCUGAUCAGGAGUGGAUAUCUAGCUCAAAGGUACAUUGUAUUGUGUUUUAUUUAGCUUUCAUUAUGCUUUUGUCAUAAGAGCAUAAUUAUAAAGAGCAUACUUUAUAAUUAUGUAAAUAUACUGAACAUAUUAUACAUAUGGAUAACAUAUUUCAAGUUAUUAUUUAAAGUCUGUCCAGCAUGUUUAGCCAGCACAGAAGAAAAUGCAUACUAAAAUCACACCACAAACAAAUUUCACAGCAGGGAAACAAAACAAAAGGAACAUCAGUUGUAAUUUGAUGCUGGUCAUUGUUUGGUACAUAGAUGUGCAUUAAUUGAAUAAAACUUCUGGUAAAUAGCUUUGCCUUUUGUUUCCGUUUCGGAGGAUAGAGCAGUUUUGUAACUACUGAAACUUACUCAAAUUUUCAUUUACUUUUGGAAACAAAAUAUUGCAUGCAUUUGUGCCAAAGAAGACAAUGAAAGUGGCAUCUAGCUGUCCUAAUUCAGACUUCAGCAGGAGUGUUGUAUAAACAGGAUCUCGACAUAAGUACGGGAUUCCUAGAGCAUCCUAUCAAGACAUGCAUCCUGGGGCAGACUUCCUGCAGGCUUCCACACCUGAAAAUGAAACUGACUCUGCUGACAACUUCAGGUGACAAUCGGAGGGGAAAAAGUUGGGGGAAGAAAGAAGCGAAACAUACGCCGCUUCUGAAGGUGAUUCUGAAUGAAGACUGAUGCUGGUAGAACUUUCAUACUGCAAGAAACGAAUUGCUGCAGAAAUGCUGAACUGGCAAGAACAACAUCAACAUGCAUUUAUUUUAUUUCUCUCCUUAGUAAAAUGUGCAUUGAAUAUUACUGUAGUUUUUGAAGCAUUGUUGAAUUCAAAAUCAACUGCUGCACAGCAGAGCUCAGUGGACUUGAGAACUACUCAGCAUGUGUGAGGAUUAGAUACACAGAAAGCAACCUCCCUUUUUAAAUUAUGAGGAUGUUGUGUUUUGUUUUGGAAGAGAUCAGAUUCUGAAUAUUUAAGGAAGCUCUAUCUCCCUUUGUGUUUUCUUCUUACUAUAGUCAGACUUCGGGUUUUGUCUUACUGAGUUUUGCUCCUGUACUGGCACUAAGUGGUUAUAGUGGGUUUCAGGGGGAGGGUGGGGGAGGCCCCUGUACUUAAAUAGAUUUUGUUUGGGUGUUCUUAAAUGCCUCUUUUGCUGCAUCAUAUAACUGAUGGCUUCCAUUGUUAAUGAAUGAACGGGAAGAUAACCAAGAUACUGUAGAGAUUGUUUGGGUUUUGGCUCAUUUGAAGAUUAUUUAACUGAAAAAGCAAUAAGAACUUUUAGUGGUCUUUUAAUACUUGGUGAUGGCUUUUUUAUGUACCAGUUUGGAAAUCUGAGAUUAUAUUUGAUAUCGUGUGGCUGUUCCAUUAUGGAAUAUUGCAGGUGUAAACUCUUGCAUUUCAGCAUUCCUAGCAGAUAUGCAACUUGACAAAGACCUAAGGUUGUUUAGUUUAAUCAGACUUUUUUUAGAUCCCACUUUCACUGUUCAAAGCACUGGUUGCUUUGUGUUUUCUAGUGCUGUCACUUCUUUAUAAAUAAAGACAAAAGAGGUAUGCAUCUUCACUGGUCCAUUUUAUUUAAAUGUGGAUAUCUACCAGAACUUACACUUGAAAACAUAGAAAGCUGUAUUCUGUGGUAUAUUGUUACUAAUGUUUAUAAAUUCUUACCCAGAUAUUUAAGAUUGUUCUGACCAUUUUGGAUUGAAAUGCUUUCUAUAACUGGUGGUACAAUAAAUUCUUAUACAUGUCCUAGAAUUGUAUUUCCUACAGAUAUGUGUUACUUUUGUAAUUACCAUGGUAACAAUGUAUCUGCAAAGAGUGCAACAUGUUGAAAUGCCUUGAGUUUAGUUUAUUGUUAUGGUAUGUAAAACUAACUUGUGCAGAUGAAAGGAUGUGCCUUACCAGCUGAAAUGAACUCAGUGAUUUUUAGAGUUAACUUUGCUAGCAUGACAUGAGUUGGCCUGUCAUCUGUAAGACUUGAGAGAAAAUGAAAUGCUAAGGAAAUGGCGUAUUUCUAUGCCUAUUCUGGUAACUUUAGGCAUUUGGUGCCAACACUUACAAGUAUUAUUCAGUAAUUAAUUGAAAUACACCUCUGGGACAUUCAUCUGAAAAGUGAAAGUUCAGGCAUAUGUGAAGAUGUUUCUAACUCAUUUCUGAAGAAGGUGAAUUGAAAUUUAUAAUAAAUGUUCAAUCCUUGCUGAGUUAGAUGGUACAGCUUAAUAAAAUGUCAUACAGUGAAGCAGUCAGUAUUUCAUAUGCACUCAGUACAUUUAGGGUUACAAGCAUGGGUUCUGAUACCCCAAUAAAUUGAUGACUUGAAGGACAUUUUAAAAUUUUUUUCUUCAGUCUUUGUAACAAACACCAUUCCACGAAGGUAAGCAAGGUAAGGAGCUCCAUGUACAAAUGUGGUUGAAAUGAUACGCACGUUUGGUGUCCUACAGCCUUGUUGAGCUUCAGUGCAAAUGGAAGAAUGAUGUGGGGGAAUACCACAGUGGAACUGGUGAGGAGUAGAGUGUCUGAAUGCACCAGUUGGGAAGAAAGCUGCCACCAAACCCACCAAGCUGCCUUCUCAGAGGAGAGCUGUCUUGCAACCCUGAUGCCCUACAGCUAUAGACGGGUAGAGCCUGGGACCAGCCAGAUUAGUUGUCCUCUGUGUAGCUGUGCUGUGAGAUCUCUGUCACCUAUCUGUGCAAGCUCUUGUGGGUACAUCCAAGUGGAUUUUUCUCAGCACACGGCAUGUGUAUCUAUGCAGGUAGCUGUGCAAAUAUGCUUUUUGUCUUCUCCACACAUGCAUGCGCCCUGUUUGUUCACUGGGCUUCAAGACAUAAGGAGUAACUCUGGCU